rnacentral:rRNA from 1 species
UGAGGAAUAUUGGUCAAUGGGCGCGAGCCUGAACCAGCCAAGUAGCGUGAAGGAUGAAGGUCCUAUGGAUUGUAAACUUCUUUUAUAGCAGAAUAAAGUGACCCACGUGUGGGUUUUUGUAUGUAUGCUAUGAAUAAGGAUCGGCUAACUCCGUGCCAGCAGCCGCGGUAAUACGGAGGAUCCGAGCGUUAUCCGGAUUUAUUGGGUUUAAAGGGUGCGUAGGCGGAAAGAUAAGUCAGCCUGUGAAAGUUUGCGGCUCAACCGUAAAAUUGCAGUUGAUACUGUUUUUCUUGAGUGUACAUAAGGUAGGCGGAAUUCGUGGUGUAGCGGUGAAAUGCUUAGAUAUCACGAAGAACUCCGAUUGCGAAGACAGCUUACCGGGGUACAACUGACGCUGAUGCACGAAAGUGUGGGUAUCAAAC